rnacentral:rRNA from 1 species
GCGGCAGGCCUAAUACAUGCAAGUCGAACGAGAUUUGAGACUUCGGUUUCAAUGAAAGUGGCGCACGGGUGCGUAACACGUAUGCAACCUACCUCUUACAGGGGGAUAGCCCGGGGAAACUCGGAUUAAUACCCCAUGGUACUAUAGAUUGGCAUCAUGAAAUAGUUAAAGAUUCAUCGGUAAGAGAUGGGCAUGCGUCUGAUUAGCUAGUUGGGGGUGUAACGGACCACCAAGGCGACGAUCAGUAGGGGUUCUGAGAGGAAGGUCCCCCACACUGGCACUGAGAUACGGGCCAGACUCCUACGGGAGGCAGCAGUAGGGAAUAUUGGGCAAUGGACGAGAGUCUGACCCAGCCAUGCCGCGUGCAGGAAGACGGCCUAUUGGGUUGUAAACUGCUUUUAUCUGGGAAGAAAAGGCCCAUGCGUGGGACAUUGCCGGUACCAGAUGAAUAAGCACCGGCUAACUCCGUGCCAGCAGCCGCGGUAAUACGGA